ACUCAGGUAGUUUAAAUAAAACACCGGUCUUGUAAGCCGAAAACCGAAGAUUAAAAAUCUUCUCUGAGUU
rnacentral:tRNA from 1 species